AUGAAGGAGUUGCCCGGAAGCCUGCGCGCCACCAUCAUCCGCCUGCUGGCCGAGCUGCUCAGCACGGAGGACUCCUCCUGGGAGCUGGUGGCCAUGGUCUUCCUCAGCGAGGUGAGCAGGGGCAGCAGGAGCAGCGAGCGUGGGGCUGCGGGGGCUCGGCGCAAGCCCUGCUGCCCUGCCCUGGCAUCCUUGCCCCAAGAGGAGGGGCGGAUCCAGCACCACCCACCACGGCUUUUUCAGAUGCUGGAGUGCACAGACCUCGGCAACGAGCUGGACUGCGUCGUGAGCCUCUUUGCCACCUACCUGCGGAGCCAGUGCCUGGGCAUGCAGAGCCUGGUGCUCAGGGCGAUCCUGGGGCUCACCCAGAGGCCGGACACGGUGAGCAGGGGCAGCCGGCAACACCACGAGUGCAGCGGCUUGGGCUGGGCUGGCCCCGGGCUGUCGUGGCUCGGCACCUUUCCAGGCAGCGGGGAAGGGGCGGCAGGGGGCCGGCGCUGUGCGUCCAUCCCCGCGCCUCCGGCUCUCUUUCUUUGGGGCUGUGCCGGGCAGCCCUGCCUGCCAGCACCACGCUGUCCCAUGGGGAGAAGCCAGCGGGACAGCUGGGAUCGGAGAGUGUUUUCGCCCAGGGGGCAGUCCUUGCUUUACCCAAAGGAAGGUGUUUUUUUCACACAGGCAAGGCAAACACUCGUCCUGCUGCCGAGCAUCACAGAGCAGCUGCAGGGUGCAGACAGCGACACCCGCACUGUCGCUCUGCCCGUGCUCAGCACCAUGCUGCGGCUCCUGGAGGGGAGGACGCUCAGCCUCACGGCUCUGGAGCUGGCCGGCAAGCUCCCAUCACUCUUUGACGACGUAAGGCUGCGUCCCCAUGCCUGCGUCCCUGUGACACCCCACUGUGGGCUCUCCCUGCCCGGUUCCCAGCCCUGGGCGCUGCGUGCCCUUGGGCAGACUUUCGGCAGGCCACAGCUUGCUCACUUUUGGGGGCCGUCCUCAAGGUGUGCCCUCUGCCUCUUGGCUCGGAGACUUUGCCCCCACUUUGUCGGUCGUGCUGGCCCUGCUUGCGGAGGGCUUGGAGCCACCGGGACUGAUGUCCCCCUCUCCUCCUCCCCAGGAGUCAAGCGCAGUGCGGGUUCUCUCUAUUCGCCUCCUCCUCGACACGCUGGGCUUUGUGGAGGGCAGCGAAAAGAAGAAGAUGCAGAAGGAGGUGUGCAGGAGCCUUGUCCCGCUGUCCUUCCACCUGCACGACCAGGACGAGAGCGUGGCCGAGGUGGGCGUUUUGCUCCUCUGGGGAGGGCGACGCUGACUGCCUCGGGGGCCCCCGAGCACCAGGGGUGCUGCAGCUGCUGGCAGCGUCAGUCUCCACUGAGGCACCCUCCCUGCGGAGGGGCUGCGGGGGGGGGCAGGGUCUUCUGCCCAGGCUCUGGUGCCAUCUCAGCUGUUCUGCAGGCCUCCCGCGAAGCCCUCCUUGGUGUCGCGCGGUUCCUGCGCUGGAGGCAGCUGGCGCACCUGGCCGAGACGGUGCAGACGUGUAAGAUCGGCGAGUGCCUGGUACGCGCAGUUCUGCACCCGGGGACGGGGACGGGGACGGGGCCAGGGACGGGGCCGCCCUGCGCUGACCCCGCGCCCUUCCCUCUCCAGCUGGCCAGGAGGAGGAGCGGAGCAGAGGAGUACCUGGGCCAGAGCCUGCCCUACCUGCAGAGCCUGCAGGAGCCCCUGCGGCGGGAGGCUGUGAGGUUCAUUGGGCUCGUGGGGAGGCACCUGGUGGAUCAGCGCGAGAACAAGAGCCAGUACAUCUGCGAAGGUGAGCCGGGGAGGGGGAUCGCAGGGCAGCCGCCAGGUGACGCGCCUGUCCCCUGCUCCCUCCUGGCUGGGCGGAGAGCUGGGGGCGACGUCUGCGGGGGGCCGGGCGCUCUGCGGGUACAGGGCCGUCAGCUCGCCUCUCCUUCUCUGUUCUCUCAGUCCUUCACGGCUUGAGGCAAGACCCCUGCGAGUCGGUCUCUUCGCUGGCACUUCAGACACUGCUGAUCCUGCAAGCAGCAAGGCCACGCUCGCGGUUCAGCUUUCGGCAGCUGUGCUCCAGGCUGCAGAAGGCGUGGAGGAGGCGACGCUCUUCCCCGGCAGGCAGCUGAGCGUGCUGGAAAGCUCCCGGCAUCUCCUCCUGCCUGCGGCGCAGCCCCGCUCCCCGGGCACACUCCCUCCACUUCUCCGUCCUUCUACGUGCUGGUGGCACGCCCGAACCAGCUCACGAACCCCAUGAACAACAGGGCUUCAGCCGUCGCCUCUCCAGCAGCGAGCCUGGUCUAAGACCCCCGCUCAGACCUGAGACCCCCGCUUAGGCCUGGGACACUGCCAGGGAUGGGACAGCCGCAGCUCCGCUGGGCCACCCGCCCCAGGGCCGCACCGCCCUCAGCGCGGAAAGUGUCCUCCUCCUUGCCAUCAGAGCUGGCCAUCAGCAUCCUCAUCUACACGACGGCUGUGCCUCCCCAGCCCCGGGGGCACUGUGCAGCCCUCCCUGGAGCGGAGCUCUCCGCACACGCCCCACGCCUGGUGGCCUCGCUGCUUUU
rnacentral:lncRNA from 1 species